UCUUCUGUAGCUCAGCUGGUAGAGCGCCGGUCUGUUAAACCGGAUGUCGGGGGUUCGAGUCCCUCCGGGAGAG
rnacentral:tRNA from 1 species